GACGAACGCUGGAGGCGUGCUUAACACAUGCAAGUCGAACGAUGAAAUGGAGCUUGCUCCAUGGAUUAGUGGCGAACGGGUGAGUAACACGUGAAUAACCUGCCCUUAAUUUUGGAAUAACCCAGGGAAACCUGGGCUAAUACCGGAUAAGUAAACCUGUGGCAUCACAUGGUUUUGGAAGGUUUUUCGAUUAAGGAUGGAUUCGCGGCCUAUCAGCUUGUUGGUGAGGUAAUGGCUCACCAAGGCGACGACGGGUAGCCGGCCUGAGAGGGUGAACGGCCACACUGGGACUGAGACACGGCCCAGACUCCUACGGGAGGCAGCAGUGGGGAAUAUUGCGCAAUGGACGAAAGUCUGACGCAGCGACGCCUCGUGAGGGACGAAGGUCUUCGGAUUGUAAACCUCUUUCAGCAGGGACGAAGCGAAAGUGACGGUACCUGCAGAAGAAGCACCGGCUAACUAUGUGCCAGCCGCCGCGGUAA
rnacentral:rRNA from 1 species